UCUUUCCAUUAUAAAAAAAUAAAAAACUCACUCCUUAGUAAGUUUACUUUUAGAUUUUUAAUGUUGGACAAAUUUUAUUCUGUCUAGAUUUAUGCUUUUCAGGUAUCAAACUUUAGACGUUUAUUUAUCUUCCAAGCAAAUUACAGUGAUCACUGUAAAGUAAUAUUAUUUUUACUGUGAUCCAAUCAAUGCAUUGACUCUUAUAGCCCAGAUAUUCCGCUAUAAAUCAGAAAGUUGUACGGACAUAUACCAGUGCAACAUAUUCUAAAAUCGUGUUCCAAUAUAAGUAAGACUAAACAUCUUUGCUAACAACAAAAUCAAGCAAAGAAUCAGGCAAAACUUAAAAAAAAAAAAAAAACUAAAACAAACUUCUGUUAUGGGCUUAAAAUUUAGAAAGAUUUACAUUAUAGGACACUUUAUGACUUAUUUAUUUCACUCUGGGACACUUCUUUCCAUUAGAGCACUUUUCUUUAAAGAACUGUUAAGUCUUAACACUUUUAGUUCAAUUCUAACCAUAACGCUAACUAACGGAACCUGGAAAGUGGCGGGACUUUGUUCCUAGCCAUUGAUUUUCCUUAUAUUUUGACGGCCGAGAUUGCACAUAUCUUUCUCUCUCUCUCAUGCAAAUUUUGCUUAUUCUAUCUGAAUUGGACUCUGUGCGUUUACGAGAUAGAUAAAAAAUAGAGUUAUGUAGAUUCUUCGAUCAGGAAAGUUGGGAUAAGCUUUUAAGACUUUGGUAAAGAUUCUACAGAUGGAACAACACGAGAUUGAAUCGUUUCUUAAAGACAGGAAGGAUCUUGAAGAUAAGUCAAAUCUCAACACAAGAACUGGAUAUAUGAUGUUCGUAACUACGAGAAACAACUUUCACGCUCCGGUUAAGUUGUUGGUCUUCUUUGAAACUUCUAAAUGCAAUCUAUUUUCUGCACUAAAGGAAAGGGAUCGUUCUCUUUGCAAUUUGGAACUAGGGGAUUGUAGAAACAAAUGAUUUCUUCACUCUGAAUACAAAAAAAAAAUGGCAACAGGGAUGAUAAAUCAUUGGUAGCAGAGAUGAGAAAACUGAAGCUUGCUUCUGAAAUGAAAUGGGAGGUCUUUGAUCUCUUACAAGAGAGUGGGUUUAUUUGCAGUCAGUUCAAAUGUAUCAAGUGGAUUUGCUGAUAAGUUGAAGAAGAAAGAUGAUGAGAUUGCUCAAGCUUGAAGAAGAAAGAUGAUGAGCUCCUCUGAAUGUUUUUUUUGAUAAGUUUCCUCUGUGAAUGUUGGAGAUGUAAACAUAUAUGUGACAAAUGUAUUCUCAUGUGGCUAUUAUGUGGCGGAUGUACAUUGUAAGGAAUUUGAUUAUGAAAUUGUAGAUGUAUAAUUGUUUUUCAUUCUAUAUAAUCUCCAAUGAACAUUAGGAUAAUGU